rnacentral:rRNA from 1 species
UACGAAGGGGGCUAGCGUUGCUCGGAAUUACUGGGCGUAAAGCGCACGUAGGCGGGUUUUUAAGUCGGGGGUGAAAUCCUGGAGCUCAACUCCAGAACUGCCUCCGAAACUGAAGAUCUUGAGUUCGGGAGAGGUGAGUGGAACUGCGAGUGUAGAGGUGAAAUUCGUAGAUAUUCGCAAGAACACCAGUGGCGAAGGCGGCUCACUGGCCCGAUACUGACGCUGAGGUGCGAAAGCGUGGGGAGCAAACAGG